CAGCAGACAAAUAGUUUCAGCUUCUUGGUUGAAUGUGAUGGCUGCUGUGAACCACUCCGUGUGUACAGACUAGCUGGACGCCUGCUUGAGAUCCGAGGUCUCGUCGCUCAUUUUUACAAUCUUGAAAGCAAACAAUAAAAGCCGUAAUGAAAGAAAGCAGCUCAUGCGCAUGGGGAGUACAAGCCAAGCCAUGUCCAUGCCCAAGCAAGUUCAGCAGCCAAUACAAACACCACCACUGUGUUUUGGAAACUCUGCUGGCCUCUCUGGAUUUUGGGAGCCAACACGGUGACGGAAGCCGAUGGCGAAAGCAGUGAGCGAAAACCUCAAAGCUGUGAAAACCGGAAUUUGCCAGCCAUCCAGCUGGACCAGAGGUACCACCACCCAUCUGCUGCACAGCCCCUCACUGCGAGAAGUCCUCCUCACAGAGCUCACUUUAAGGUCUGCUUCACUGCAGCCUUGCAGGAGGCACUCACCUCCACAUUGUCACCAAGCCAACAUGCCACCUCCUCGGCCAGGAGAAUUGCCCCCAAAGGCUCCAGCAGCACCAAGAGAGACCUCACCCAAACUCCCCACCCAGCACACCAGCGCACUGAGAGACAGAUUAUUUGGGAAUCCUCCUCUGCCUUCCCACAAUGCCCUCUGUAGGCUCCGGAGGAACAGAGCAGGAGGUUCCCAGUGUGUGGGGAGCGGGGCUGGGGCUGCGCGAUCCCAUCGGUGCCAGGUGCCCAGGGCAGAUCCACAGUGACGAGGGAAGGUGUGAAAUCUGCUUUGUGGUAGCAGCGGUGCAGCUCGCAAAGAAGAGACUUUGGCUUGCCAAGCAGAGCCGGGCACUGCAGCUCUGUGCUGUGCUCUUCUUUCUGCACAAUGCAAUCACUGAUGCUUGAGGGCCAUUCAGUGUCAGUACUUGACCUGGGGUUGAGUCUCCACUGCUUCUCUUUCCCUGCAAGAAAAUAUCAGCAGAUGCCUCUGACAGACCCAACUAGUGCUUUCAAGCAGGAAAAAAUUCAAAAGAAACAGAUUCACUUCCCUGCAUGACCUCAGUCCUGCUCUCAUUUGGGCAAACUGCAUAAGGAGCUAGUCCAGAUUUUUUUUCAUACUCUGAGAAUGCAUCACGUGGCACAGUGUGUUACACCGCAAGGCAAAUACAACAGUGCAGGGCAGAUGUUGCCAUAUCACUGGGGAGGCAGAGCGGCUGAGAGCUGGCACUAGCACCAACACAGUGCUGACAUCUUGGCCCAGUACUGUCCCCUGUUCCCUGCAGCUGCCCUCCCUCUGCUGCCUCACCUCCAGCCCUCCAAUGUCCUCACAUCCUCUGCAAGAGACUCAAGGCGCUGAUAUUUCUCCAGCCUUGGUGGCCACUGCUGAUCACUGCAGCAGGACAGUUACACUUCUCUUUGACAUCUGUGGAUGCUGCAUGGAGAUGGAAGAGUUCUCGUUAGGUGGCACGGAUUGCACAUGGGCAGUGCUGAUGGGCUUCACAUCUCUUUGCUUGUGCCCACCCUGCAAAUGCACUGAGUGAUUUCUUUUGUUUUAAGCUGUGUAAUUGCUAGGGAAAACAUAUCCUUUUCUAGUGGCUUUUCCUUUAUUGUCAUGUUUAGGAAGUUCUUUUGUAUGUCAUAACAUUUUGUCUGUUUUUACUGAAAUGGUUCCACGAAGGAACGAUUGUUUGCACAAACAGACUGACAUGUUGAUACAGGCUGACAACUGCACAGCUAAGACCAAAAUAAAAUGUAAAGUAAACACAUUUGCAUAAGUUUAUAAUGUGACCCAGUUCUUAGGAAGCGGAGGAAAUGGGGA
rnacentral:lncRNA from 1 species